rnacentral:lncRNA from 1 species
UUUUUUUUUUUUUUUUAAUCAACCCUAUUGUCCCUGCUUUAUAAUUUCCCUCCCAUUUGAAGCCGUGAUAUUGCUGUCUACACCACUUGCUCAGAGCGAGCUGUAUGCAUAUCUCAAAUCGUCUUCCUCCCCCGGCCAACAGUAUUCCCCUCUCUGAGCUGGCAGCAAACAUCUGCUUCGUGUUGCCACGUGUACACACAGAAACAACAAUGCCAUCGAUGUAGCAAUGCCAAACCACUCUGCCCCGGGUGCUACAAAACCAAAGGCAGAGAGAGGCACACACCUCCGGAAGCACACUGAGAGAUAUUUGCAGUUUUGUCGCCUGCCUGGGACUCAGACCCCACCCUGGGACUCCUGGGCCCUUGGUUAUAGAUGCACAAGGAAGGGGGGAAUCUUAGCUUUGCUGUGUUUAGAGAGAAUCAAAGCCAAGAUGCUGGGCCGAGUGCUGGGGCUAUUGAAGUCUCAGCAUCAGUGGAUGGAGCACCAGUGGGUUCCCAAGACCUAGACUUGAAGGACCUUGGUGGAACAGGGUGUGCUUCCUUCCGGAGGCUGUGGAGGGCUAUGGCUCUGGGAGGGAAUCCCUGGGUGGUCACGUGGACUGAAGACCCUGGAGUGGUCAGUGAUACAACUGGAAAUGAAAUGAUGGAACUGCCCAGAUCUCUUGGACAUGGAAGAGGAUGUUGCAUUUUGUGUGACCGUCCAGUCUGUCCUCUGCAGCAUCCCUCUGGGAACUUACGCAGACAUUUCAGCCUGCGAAGGCAAAGCUUCCGAAAGCCCUGCUUCCUCGGAAUGCCAUCCGUACACCUUGGUGCUAUCCUUUUGAAACUGUCUACAUUUUCACCUCCUCUGUGAUUCUGUUUUUGGAAAGAUUUUAUAACUGUAAUAAUGGGUGCUACAACAUUAAAGACUGAUGUCAACUGCAGUUCUAGUGGGUGCCUCAUUUUCUUGAAAUGUAUAUGCAUUUCUGGGAAGGGGCGUUUUGCAUGUACGCGAAUGCGUGUAGAGGCAGGAGGACACCCUUGGAUGUCAGGCACACAAACAUACCAUUCACAGAUUUUGAGACAAGGUCUGCCAUUGGCCUAGAACUCAUGAAUUACACCAGGCUAGCUGGCCAUGAGACCCAAGAGGUCUUCCUAUGUCUGGCUCCUCAGUGUGAAAAUAACAAGUGUUAUUUGCUCAGCAUUUUCACAUAGGUUGUGUGUCCUCAUGCUUGAAUAAAAGGCACUUUCUUGACUGGGCCAUCCCCUAAUACCUACUUUGUAUGGACUCUAGCAUGGUCAUCAGCUCAUAGGUCCUGUAGCCCAUCAUCUAUUUCUGUUACUUGAGUACUCUGUGGUUUUCUGAAAUGAGUCCCAGAUGCUGAAGAUGCUGAGACAAACAGCCCAACCAUUCACUCCAGGAGCUGUCGACAGACAGUCACUGCAGGUAAGGGCUGAUAAGACUAGGGAAUGUGGGCAAAGGUGGUCCAGGAAUAGGCCCAAGAUGCGCUGAGCAGGAGGAAAAGCGAGCAGUUAGCCUUCCGAGAGGGUCUCCAGUGUACUGUGUCUGUAUGUGAAGGGUCAUUUCACUAUUCCUACCUGCUUCUCCCGACCCAGUCCAUCCUCUAGGUAUCUGUGGGUUGCCCUCUCUGACAGGAACACUUCAGACUCACCUGUUCCAUGACUAAUCCUCGCAGCUUCGUGACCUGCUGGAGUUUUCUGUGUCAAUCAUCUACCAGCAGCUUCAGCAUCCUUAAGACUCUUCUUCCUGGUCUAUUUCCCUCUUUGGGCUGUUUUUGUUAUCACUGUCUCUGUGUAUGGGGUGUGUGUGUGUGUGGUACAUACAAGAACACAGAUAUACAUGAGAGUACAUAGUAUGGGGGUAUACAUGCCUGUGGAAGUUACUGGCCAAUCUCCAGUUCUCCAGCAUCUCCUCUGGUGCCACCCACCUUGAUUUUUUUUGAGACAGGAUCUCUCUCUGGCUUGGUUCUCAGGUUUUGGACUGAGGUGACUGGCUAGCAAGCCACACACACACACACACACACACACACACACGGAUGCCCAUGUUUGCCUAGAGUCACUAGGAUCCCCACAUCUCUCCACGCAGUGUAUCUAGCUGCUCUGUGUUGGAAACUGCCCCUUUCAAUUCACUUCGCUCCACAUCUCAUCUUUCACGCACGCGACUGCUCGAGCCACCCAGAAUCAAAACCAAACAAGUUGUUACCUGCUUGAAUUCCUCGUUCUGCCAUCUCAUCCAAACAUAACCAUCUCUGUCAGUUUAAACGAGGAGACUCUUUGUGACUCUACCUUGAAAUUAUCAUGGCAUUUGAAAAUAGCAUUAGCAAUAAAGUCUUAUCAUGGCUACUU